GGUUCGAUUCUGGCUCAGAUUGAACGCUGGCGGGAUGCUUUACACAUGCAAGUCGAACGGCAGCACGGACUUCGGUCUGGUGGCGAGUGGCGAACGGGUGAGUAAUGUAUCGGAACGUGCCUAGUAGCGGGGGAUAACUACGCGAAAGCGUAGCUACUACCGCAUACGCCCUUCGGGGGAGCGGGGGACCUUCGGGCCUCGCAAUUAAUAGAGCGCCGAUAUCGGAUUAGCCAGGGCUGGGGUAACGGCUCACCGGCUGCGACGAUCCGUAGCUGGUUUGAGAGGACGACCAGCCACACUGGGACUGAGACACGGCCCAGACUCCUACGGAGGCAGUGGGGAAUUUUGGACAAUGGGGAAAACUGAUCCAGCCGUGUCAUAUCUCUGGCGUGCAAGAUGAAGGCUUCGGGUUGUAAAGCACUUUUGGCAGGAAAAGAACAUAGUACGGGAUAAUACCCGUGCAACUGACGGUACCUGCAGAAUAAGCACCGGCUAACCACGUGGCCAGCAGCCAGCGUAUUGUCAGAAAAGCGCGUUAAUCGGAAUUACUGGGCGUAGCGUGCGCAGGCGGUUCCGGAGUUACAUGAACCCAGAGCUUAACUUUGAACUGCAUUUUUAACUACCGAGCUAGAGUGUCGAGGGAGGUGGAAUUCCGCGUGGCAGUGAAAUGCGUAGAUAUGCGGAGGAAACACCGAUGGCGAAGGCAGCCCCGGGGAUAACACUGACGCUCAUGCACGAAAGGGGGAGCAAACAGGAUUAGAUACCCUUGGUAGUCCACGCCCUAAACGAUGUCAACUAGCUGCUGGGGCUUUCGGCUUGGUAGUGCAGCUAACGCGUGAAGUUGACCCUCGCCUGGGGAGUACGGUCGCAAGAUUAAAACUCAAAGGAAUUGACGGGACCGCACAAGCGGUGGAUGAUGGAUUAAUUGAUAACGCAAAAACCUUACCUACCCUUGACAUGUCUGGAAUCCCGAAGAGAUUUGGGAGGUCGCAAGAGAACUGAACACAGGUGCUGCAUGGCUGUCGUCAGCUCGUGUCGUGAGAUGUUGGGUUAAGUCCCACAACGAGCGCAACCCUUGUCAUUAGUUGCUAC
rnacentral:misc_RNA from 1 species